UCGGGUUGUAAAGCACUUUUGUUCGGGAAGAAAACUUCGAUCCUAAUAUGGUUGGAGGAUGACGGUACCGGAAGAAUAAGCACCGGCUAACUACGUGCCAGCAGCCGCGGUAAUACGUAGGGUGCAAGCGUUAAUCGGAAUUACUGGGCGUAAAGCGUGCGCAGGGCGGUUCGUUAAGACAGAUGUGAAAUCCCCGGGCUUAAACCUGGGAACUGCAUUUUGUGACUGGCGAGCUAGAGUAUGGCAGAGGGGGGGUAGAAUUCCACGUGUAGCAGUGAAAUGCGUAGAGAUGUGGAGGAAUACCGAUGGCGAAGGCAGCCCCCCUGGGCCAAUACUGACGCUCAUGCACGAAAGCGUGGGGAGCAAACAGGAUUAGAUACCCUGGUAGUCCACGCCCUAAACGAUGUCAACUAGUUGUUGGGUCUUCAUUGACUUAGUAACGCAGCUAACGCGUGAAGUUGACCGCCUGGGGAGUACGGUCGCAAGAUUAAAACUCAAAGGAAUUGACGGGGACCCGCACAAGCGGUGGAUGAUGUGGAUUAAUUCGAUGCAACGCGAAAAACCUUACCUACCCUUGACAUGUACGGAACCUGGCUG
rnacentral:rRNA from 1 species